UGAUGAAGUGGGAGCCAAGUCCUCAUAGCCCU
rnacentral:piRNA from 1 species